CGAGCUGGGUUUAGAACGUCGUGAGACAGUUCGGUCCCUAUCCGCUGCGCGCGUAGGAAAUUUGAGAAGAUCUAUCCUUAGUACGAGAGGACCGGGAUGGACGAACCUCUGGUGUGUCAGUUGUUCUGCCAAGAGCACCGCUGAUUAGCUACGUUCGGAACGGAUAACCGCUGAAAGCAUCUAAGCGGGAAGCCGGCUUCGAGAUGAGAUUUCCAACCCCUUCGGGGGGAGAGGCUCCCAGCUAGACUACUGGGUUGAUAGGCCGGAUGUGGAAGUGGGGACUAAAGACCCAUGGAGCUGACCGGUACUAAUAAGCCGAUAAUUUGACAAC
rnacentral:rRNA from 1 species